rnacentral:rRNA from 1 species
UACGGAGGGGGCUAGCGUUGUUCGGAAUUACUGGGCGUAAAGCGCACGUAGGCGGCUUUGUAAGUUAGAGGUGAAAGCCCGGAGCUCAACUCCGGAAUUGCCUUUAAGACUGCAUCGCUAGAAUUGUGGAGAGGUGAGUGGAAUUCCGAGAGUAGAGGUGAAAUUCGUAGAUAUUCGGAAGAACACCAGUGGCGAAGGCGACUCACUGGACACAUAUUGACGCUGAGGCGCGAAAGCGUGGGGAGCAAACAGG